rnacentral:rRNA from 1 species
CGGCCUUAUUAGUUAUUAAGCCAAUCUACCCUUCUCGGGUAGUUCGUUGGUGAUUCAUUAUAAUGUGUCCAAUCGGUCUUUUUCGAUACAUCGGUAGAAUUUCUGCCCUAUCAGCUUUGGAUGGUAGUGUAGUGGACUACCAUGGCUUUUACGGGUAACGGGGAAUUAGGGUUCGAUUCCGGAGAGGGAGCCUGAGAAACGGCUACCACUUCUAUGGAAGGCAGCAGGCGUGCAAAUUACCCAAUCCCAACACGGGGAGGUAGUGACAAGGAAUACCAAUACUGGAUUCUUUGAAUUCGGUAGUUGGAAUGAGUGUAUUGUAAAGGCCUUAUCGAGGAUCAAUUGGAGGGAAAGUCUGGUGCCAGCAGCCGCGGUAAUACCAGCUCCAAUAGCGUAUAUUAAUGUUGCUGCAGUUAAAAAGCUCGUAGUCGAUUUUCUGGUCUGUCAAACUCGAACUGCACCUUUUACAGGAGCAUGUCUCGAAUCGUUUGCGGGCCAUCUUUCUGGAGAGUGCUUCUUUUCUUGAUUGAGUGGUUGCACAAUUCAGAUCGUUUACUGUGAGCAAAUGGGAGUGUU